GGGUCCAAAGCCCGACUAGUCCCGCGCGUUUGCGCCUCGGGGCACGGGGCCUGCGCUCCUGGAUCGGGUCCCGGGAAUCGGAAACAGAGCUCGCGCUUCCCCGCAUCCUCCCGGCUUCGCCGCUCAGCUCGGCAUCCCCGAACCCAGCCUCGCAGCCCCGGCUCUAGCUCCCGUCGUCCCGCACUCACCGCGCCCCCGCUCCCGGCGCCCGCGCAGCCUCCGCCCGCUGUCCCGGCGCCGCCGUCUCUCCGCGGGACUGCAGGCCAGGGACGGUGAGGGGGCAGGGCGGUGCGGAGGGGCGGGGCCGCUGCAGGUAACAAUGCUGCCUACCCGGCUGCUCCUCCAGCCGGCCGCAAAGGACAGCACGCCCUUUCCUGCUCCGCUGCCUCCCUCGCUCCCCCUUCAACCCUAAGAGCACCGCCACUGCGCUCGCCCUCGCCAGCUCCGGGCUCCGGAGACUCGAAAGCCGCCGCCCAGCACGCUGCUCCUGGCACCUGAAGACCAGCUCCGGGCUGGGCGGGCAACCACAGAGGUGGAAUAAAAACAAAAACAAAACCCAAAACCAACCAAACAAAAACACAGCCAAGAGGAUGGAGACCGAAGCAUUCCAUGUGGAGCCUCUACUGUUUUAGUUACCCUGAGAGAGGGGAGGACCCCUGACUUCAAUUGGAGAGAGACUACGUAUGCCCUUGGGAAGAAGGCAGCGUGGCUCUUUUCAGCCUGGAGCCGAACUGCUUCCAUGAGCCAGGCAUAAGGCUGCAAAGAGGACCAGAGGAGGAAAACACUGUAAUACUGAGAUAUCAGCAGGUUAACAAUUGUGAAUGCUUCCUUAGCUGGGUGAACCCAAUUCACCACCAGCAAGCAGGAAUUCACAGUAAAGAGUGAGCUCCAAGAACUAAACAGGCAGAGUUCUUUCUAGAAUAAACCAAGGUCGUUGUGGAGGUUGCUGGCAAGGAAGUCUGAAGUGGCCUGGACUACAAGGACUUGUGUUGAAGGGGGGGGGGGGGGGGGAAGA
ensembl:lncRNA